GUUGGGUUAAGUCCCGCAACGAGCGCAACCCUCGCCCUUAGUUGCCAGCAUUUAGUUGGGCACUCUAAGGGGACUGCCGGUGAUAAGCCGAGAGGAAGGUGGGGAUGACGUCAAGUCCUCAUGGCCCUUACGGGCUGGGCUACACACGUGCUACAAUGGUGGUGACAGUGGGCAGCGAGCACGCGAGUGUGAGCUAAUCUCCAAAAGCCAUCUCAGUUCGGAUUGCACUCUGCAACUCGAGUGCAUGAAGUUGGAAUCGCUAGUAAUCGCGGAUCAGCAUGCCGCGGUGAAUACGUUCCCGGGCCUUGUACACACCGCCCGUCACACCAUGGGAGUUGGUUUUACCCGAAGGUAGUGCGCUAACCGCAAGGAGGCAGCUAACCACGGUAGGGUCAGCGACUGGGGUGAAGUCGUAACAAGGUAGCCGUAGGGGAACCUGCGGCUGGAUCACCUCCUUUCUGCGGCCGCU
rnacentral:rRNA from 1 species